rnacentral:tRNA from 1 species
CGGGGUGUAGCGCAGUUUGGUAGCGUGCUUGGUUCGGGACCAAGAGGCCACCGGUUCAAGUCCGGUCACUCCGACCA